UUACAAGAACACAGGUCCGUGCGAAGCCGUAAGGCGAUGUAUACGGACUGACGCCUGCCCGGUGCUGGAACGUUAAGGGGACCGGUUAGCUCCAUUUCGGUGGGGCGAAGCUGAGAACUUAAGCGCCAGUAAACGGCGGUGGUAACUAUAACCAUCCUAAGGUAGCGAAAUUCCUUGUCGGGUAAGUUCCGACCUGCACGAAUGGCGUAACGACUUCUCGACUGUCUCAACCAUAGGCCCGGUGAAAUUGCACUACGAGUAAUGAUGCUCGUUUCGCGCAGCAGGACGGAAAGACCCCGGGACCUUUACUACAGUUUGAUAUUGGUGUUCGGUUCGGCUUGAGUAGGAUAGCUGGGAGACUGUGAAGCGCUAACGCCAGUU
rnacentral:ncRNA from 1 species